rnacentral:rRNA from 1 species
GACGAACGCUGGCGGCAUGCCUAACACAUGCAAGUCUAGGGGUAGCAAUACCACUGGCGCACGGGUGAGUAACACGUAGGUUAUCUGCCCCCAUCACAGACAUAACCCGGGAAACCCGGGGGACGUAAUAUCUGAUGAGGUCGCGAGAUCAAAGACUUCGGCGGAUGGGGAGUGAGGCCUGCGGCUGAUUAGCUAGUUGGUGAGGUAAUGGCUCACCAAGGCGACGAUCAGUAGCUGGUCUGAGAGGACGAACAGCCACACUGGAACUGAGACACGGUCCAGACUCCUACGGGAGGCAGCAGUGAGGAAUAAUUGGUCAAUGGGAGGCAAUCCUGAACCAGCAAUGCCGCGUGUGGGA